rnacentral:rRNA from 1 species
GACGAACGCUGGCGGCGUGCCUAAUACAUGCAAGUCGAGCGGACAAUUGAGAGCUUGCUCUCAAUUGUUAGCGGCGGACGGGUGAGUAACACGUGGGCAACCUGCCCUGUAGACUGGGAUAACUUCGGGAAACCGAAGCUAAUACCGGAUAAUCUUUAGCGUCACAUGGCGCAAAAGUAAAAGUUGGGUUUACCUAACACUACAGGAUGGGCCCGCGGCGCAUUAGCUAGUUGGUAAGGUAAUGGCUUACCAAGGCGACGAUGCGUAGCCGACCUGAGAGGGUGAUCGGCCACACUGGGACUGAGACACGGCCCAGACUCCUACGGGAGGCAGCAGUAGGGAAUCUUCCGCAAUGGACGAAAGUCUGACGGAGCAACGCCGCGUGAACGAUGAAGGCUUUCGGGUCGUAAAGUUCUGUUGUUAGGGAAGAAACAAAGUACCCGUUCAA